AUUGAACGCUGGCGGCAUGCUCUACACAUGCAAGUCGAACGGUAACAGGCCGCAAGGUGCUGACGAGUGGCGAACGGGUGAGUAAUGCAUCGGAACGUGCCCAGUCGUGGGGGAUAACUACUCGAAAGAGUAGCUAAUACCGCAUACGAUCUAUGGAUGAAAGCGGGGGACCGUAAGGCCUCGCGCGAUUGGAGCGGCCGAUGUCAGAUUAGGUAGUUGGUGGGGUGAAGGCUCACCAAGCCAACGAUCUGUAGCUGGUCUGAGAGGACGACCAGCCACACUGGGACUGAGACACGGCCCAGACUCCUACGGGAGGCAGCAGUGGGGAAUUUUGGACAAUGGGCGCAAGCCUGAUCCAGCAAUGCCGCGUGCAGGAAGAAGGCCUUCGGGUUGUAAACUGCUUUUGUACGGAACGAAACGGCUCUGGUUAAUACCCGGGGCUAAUGACGGUACCGUAAGAAUAAGCACCGGCUAACUACGUG
rnacentral:rRNA from 1 species